AAGGGGAAACAUUAAAUUAAUUCAGAUUGAAUAAAAGAAAUGACAGCAUAACAAUAACUUCAUUAAAACUUUGCCAUAAAAUCCCCCAAAUGAGGAAAAUUCGGUCAAGCAAAAUGAGUAUCACAACCAUUCAAUAGACAAAAUACAGCAAAACAAAACUACCCCUCAUAUCCCUGUCUUUAUCCAAGAACAUCCUUAGGCAAGAUGGAGCCAAAUCCUCCCAUACGAACUUGCCUUGCCAAGCACUUAUUUCCCAUAAUUAACAAUCAAGCAAUUAAAUUUGAGAAGCAUUUGAUUUCAGAUUAAUCCUUAUUCCACUGAUAGCAAAUGUCAUAUUGACUCGACUCAUAAUUCCACAUGCAAGGACCGCUCGGCAAUAUACUCCACGUGCGGUCGUGCCAUGGCGGGAACUCUCUUUUUGCUUUAUAUAUGUCGAAAUAAUGAGACUCAGUUUCCCAAGCGAACCAGCAAAAGAUUAAUGUUCUACCAAAAAUAUUUGGUCUGAACGAAAAUUCGUAAGAGCCACCGACGGGGACGACAUGGGUGCCAAGAUCAUCGUCCUUGGACUUACAGUGAAUGGUCAUCGCUG
rnacentral:lncRNA from 1 species